ACAUCAGCUCAUUUGGCGUAUUUUUUCUGACUCGAUCAGACGUGAUACCGCUGACUAGCAUAUCACUAGCGAGGAAAGAACUACAGAUCCUAGUACGCGAGUGACAGGAUGAGCCAGCACGAGCUGUGCAUUGGUACUAGGCAAUGUGUGUUUAGGUCGUCGCAGAGACACUGCUCCUCUCUAAGUCCAUCAAUGAGUACGGUAGUACUGACAUGGCCCAUGGAGGGUGAAAGGCCCGUAAGAGAGGAGUUUUGGUGUGACAGUGUCUCUCUGGUUUGACCUUGGAGUCGGGUUGUUUGGGAAUGCAGCCCUAAGUGGGUGGUAAACUCCAUCCAAGGCUAAAUACAAGCACGAGUCCGAUAGCGAACAAGUACCGUGAGGGGAAAGUUGAAAAGUACUUUGAAGAGAGAGUAAACAGUGCGUGAAACCGCUUAGAGGUAAACGGGUGGAGUUGAACUGUAAUCUCUGAGAAUUCAGCUGGCGAAUUUUGCUUGAGCUUGGUCAAAAUGGGCAGGGCCCCGGGGUAUGCUUAGGUGCAUGUUCUGGCCUUCGGGUUGGGAUGCGCGUUGCUCUUAUCAAGGGCUGCGCGCCUCGGGUGUCCGGCUGGCUCUGUCACCAGUGCACUUUCUCGGAGUGAUCACCACGACCGGCGUGCUGCUUGGCUGUUCUAGUUAAACCGAACGUUCAUCGUCCUUGUGGCGUUGGGCGGUCGACACGGCAGGAAACUGGGGGCUUGCUUCGGCUUGCCUUCCGGUGUUUGUCGGCUUUAACGGUUCUAUGCGGUGUGUCGGAGACGGCGGCUAGUAGUGUGUGCGUGCGUAUCUAUCUGUUGGCAUACUCUGGUUUGGUGGCUAUGUGCUUGUUCAAGCAGGCCUAGUUAUGGCCGGGGUAUGUCAGUGGGUGGUUGCGUGUGUGGCACUUUUCUGGGCCAACAGUCUGUGGUGUUGUGGUAGACUAUCCACCUGACCCGUCUUGAAACACGGACCAAGGAGAGUAACAUGUGCGCGAGUCAUUGGGCGUAACGAAACCCACAGGCGCAGUGAAAGUAAAAGUCUGGCUUGUCCAGUCUAAGGUGAGAUCCUGUCGUUGUCAUGCGUGGUAUCACCAAGCUUGGAGCGGUAGGCGCAUCACCGGCCCGUCCCAUGACGUGGUCACAGUCCUCGGAUUGUGCGCCGUGGGGGCGGAGCAUGAGCGUACAUGUUGAGACCCGAAAGAUGGUGAACUAUGCUUGCGCAGGUUGAAGCCAGAGGAAACUCUGGUGGAAGACCGCAGCGAUUCUGACGUGCAAAUCGAUCGUCAAACGUGAGUAUAGGGGCGAAAGACUAAUCGAACCAUCUAGUAGCUGGUUCCCUCCUCCCUCAGGAUAGCUGAACAUCGCC
rnacentral:rRNA from 1 species